GACGUAGGGCGCGAGCGUUGUCCGGAUUUAUUGGGCGUAAAGAGCUCGUAGGCGGCUUGUCGCGUCGACUGUGAAAACCCGUGGCUCAACCAUGUGGUCUGCAGUCGAUACGGGCAGGCUAGAAUUCGGUAGGGGAGACUGGAAUUCCUGGUGUAGCGGUGAAAUGCGCAGAUAUCAGGAAGAAUAUCCGUGGCGAAGGCGGCUCUCUGGGACGGUACUGACGCUGAGACGCGAAAGCGUGGGGAGCGAACAGG
rnacentral:rRNA from 1 species